UACAGAGGGUGCGAGCGUUAAUCGGAAUUACUGGGCGUAAAGCGUGCGUAGACGGUUAUUUAAGUCGGGUGUGAAAGCCCCGGGCUCAACCUGGGAAUUGCAUUCGAGACUGAAUAGCUAGGGUACGGUAGAGGGAAGUGGAAUUUCCGGUGUAGCGGUGAAAUGCGUAGAUAUCGGAAGGAACAUCAGUGGCGAAAGCGACUUCCUGGACCAGUACCGACGUCAGGCACGAAAGCGUGGGGAGCAA
rnacentral:rRNA from 1 species